GAUGAACGCUGGCGGCGUGCCUAAUACAUGCAAGUCGAGCGAAGCGGGGACGGGUGAGUAACACGUGGAUAAUCUCCUAUAAGACUGGGAUAAAUUCGGUAAACCGGAGCUAGACCGGAGACUUAUAGAUGGAUCCGCGCUGGAUUAGCUAGUUGGUAAGGUAAUGGCGUACCAAGGCAACGAUGCAUAGCCGACCUGAGAGGGAGAGCGGCCACCCUGGAUCUGAGAGAGGGUCCAGACUCCUACGGGAGGCAGCAGUAGGGAAUCUUCCGCAAUGGGGGAAAGCCUGACGGAGCAACGCCGCGUGAGUGAUGAAGGUCUUCGGAUCGUAAAACUCUGUUAUUAGGGAAGCGGUACCUAAUCAGAAAGCCACGGCUAACUACGUGCCAGCCGCCGCGGUAAUUC
rnacentral:rRNA from 1 species